UUUAACCAAAACUUUUGACAUUUGUCAACACUGAAUUUUAGUGUAUGACCAAAGACAGAAAUUCCCUAACAUUGCACUGGGGUUCACAGGCAUUAAUAACAGUCUACAGGAAUCUCAUACAAGUGGUCAUCAACUUGGAGUGGGUAAAUUUUGAUAAUAGUGUAAUUUCCAAGUGUAAUUUGAGGGGUAAGAUUAAUUCUUAUAGUAACAGACAACAGUAACCGAAAAUCCUGCUGGCUGUGCCAAAUGAAAAACACUUGUUCUACAUGAGCUGAUCAGAGUGAUGUUUAGAGUUUUACAGUCAACAGUACAUCUACCUGCAGGCUGUGGGCAGCAAACCAAAUAGCAUCACUGAAUAAAAUGCAACUUUUCAUAGAACCGCAUAAGAGAGAAUCCAUCUGAAAAUAAUUAAACAAUUUCCCGACCGGUGGUGAGUGGAGAUAGCAGUUUCCCGUAGCUUUCGUGAUUGCAUUGCUGGUCUCUUUUGGAGUUUUCUCAUCAUGGUUCCUGAUGACAUUGGUAUCACAUCGAUAGAUCCAGGUUUUUUAUAUAAAUAAAGAAAUUAAGAAAAAAUGGGAAUGUUUUGAAUACCCUUAAGGCUAUAAUGAAAUUACGGUUAUGGCAAAUGUCUCAUUACGUCUUCAAGAGGCAUUUGUGAUGAAUAAUGAGGCGGUAAGCUACGUUAGGAGCUAGAGCCUGGAAUUCUACUUUAAACAAGCCUUUAAGCCAAUUAAAAUGCGUAAAAGGCUGAGAAUUUAACACACUAUGCAAAGCCGACACUUAAUUUUCAUUAUGUAAUGGAGUGUAGUAGCAAGCAUUGUUUAAAAUUACCAGCCAGUUUGCCUUUGACAUUGAGAGCCACAGUCUUCUGAAAUUCAAACAUAUUAAUUUAGCUAUUUCUCUCCGAAAAGACUCCAGUCACAGAAAACUGAUAUUUUCAUUUGAAUGCAACCAACUCGGAGCAUUUCCUAUCAGAACGCCUCUGCCUCAUUUCCCAAAACAAUCAUCUCUCAGGGGUUGUGGAGUGGAGGCAGGCCCAGUGGGGGCAAUUGAUACUUCUAUUGCACACAGAGGGCUUGUGUAAAUAUCUUAGCAUGAAGUGACUCACCAUUGUCUUGGCUCUUGUACUGUACACACAGGGUUUGGUUUGGAUUAAGACCCUGGGUUUGCUUUAGAAGAACUGUCUUUCACACAUAAUCAGCUGCUUCUGGCUGCCUUUCAAAUUUAAUUUAAAUCCUAUUUUUUACUAUUACUAUCACAAUAAUGAUGGAUCACUGGCCAGUGUGAGACAGUUCUGAGGCUAAUGAAUAUUUUAAAUUUUUUGAUUUAGUUGAUAUCCAUUUUUAUGCAAUGCAACUUAUUCUUCUCCUGAUAUUAUCAGAACGAAAUUUUGAAAAUGACUUGGAAAAAACGCCAAUCCAUAAUGGAGCUACAAGCAGCAUUAUGUAAUUUUUUAUUUGAUGUGCUCUGUGUGACCUAGUUUCUGUCUCCCGUUUGAUUAUGUCAUUUAGUUCAGGUGUGUCUCGUUUACGAAUGUACUUAAGUCCCUGUCUGUUCAGUUAGUGUUUGUCCGGUCUACUAUGUCCCUAUGUGUGCUCCAGUCUGAUUUGUCCUGGAUUUACCCUUGUGUGGAUUUAUUAAAGACUAUUUGCAUUCAU